GACAGAGGGUGCAAGCGUUGUUCGGAAUUACUGGGCGUAAAGCGCGUGUAGGCGGCGUUGCAUGUCAGAUGUGAAAGCCCCAGGCUCAACUUGGGAAGUGCAUCUGAAACUGCAAUGCUAGAGUGCAAUAGAGGAAGGUAGAAUUCCUGGUGUAGAGGUGAAAUUCGUAGAUAUCAGGAGGAAUACCGAUGGCGAAGGCAGCCUUCUGGAUUGUUACUGACGCUGAGACGCGAAAGCGUGGGGAGCAAACAGG
rnacentral:rRNA from 1 species